rnacentral:rRNA from 1 species
UCAGGACGAACGCUGGCGGCGUGCUUAACACAUGCAAGUCGAACGAGGAUUAUGUUGGAAGGGCUUCGGCCUGGAAGAUGUAAUUCGAGUGGCGGACGGGUGAGUAACGCGUGAACAAUCUGUCCCGGACAGGGGAAUAACACUUGGAAACAGGUGCUAAUACCGCAUAAGACCACGCCCUCGCAUGGGGGAGGGGUAAAAGGAGCAAUCCGGUUCGGGGUGAGUUCGCGUCCGAUUAGAUAGUUGGUGAGGUAACGGCCCACCAAGUCGACGAUCGGUAGCCGACCUGAGAGGGUGAUCGGCCACAUUGGAACUGAGAGACGGUCCAAACUCCUACGGGAGGCAGCAGUGGGGAAUAUUGGGCAAUGGGCGAAAGCCCUGACCCAGCAACGCCGCGUGAGUGAAGAAGGCUUUCGGGUUGUAAAGCUCUGUUAUAGGGGACGAAGGAAGUGACGGUACCCUAUAAGGAAGCCCCGGCUAACUACGUGCCAGCCGCAGC